rnacentral:rRNA from 1 species
UAAUACAUAGGGGGCGAGCGUUAUCCGGAAUUACUGGGCGUGAAGGGUGCGUAGGCGGUUUCUUAAGUCUAGUGUGAAAGCCCACGGCUUAACCGUGGAGGGUCAUUAGAAACUGGGAGACUUGAGUACAGCAGAGGUAAGUGGAAUUUCUAGUGGAGCGGUGAAAUGCGUAGAUAUUAGAAGGAACACCAGUGGCGAAGGCGGCUUACUGGGCUGGAACUGACGCUGAGGCACGAAAGCGUGGGGAGCAAACAGGAUUAGAUACCCUGGUAGUCCACGCCGUAAACGAUGAGCACUAAGUAUCGGGUGAGAACUCGGUGCUGUAGUUAACGCAUUAAGUGCUCCGCCUGGGGAGUACGGUCGCAAGACUGAAACUCAAAGGAAUUGACGGGAACUCGCACAAGCGGUGGAGCAUGCGGUUUAAUUCGAUGCAACCCGAAAAACCUUACCAGGUCUUGACAUCCCGCUGACAGGUCUAGAGAUAGACCCUUCCUUCGGGACAGUGGAGACAGGUGGUGCAUGGUUGUCGUCAGCUCGUGUCGUGAGAUGUUGGGUUAAGUCCCGCAACGAGCGCAACCCUCGUCACUAGUUGCUAACAUUAAGUUGAGGACUCUAGUGAGACUGCCGAUGACAAAUCGGAUGAAGGUGAGGAUGACGUCAAAUCAUCAUGCCCCUUAUGACCUGGGCUACACGCGUGCUACAAUGGCCAGUACAAAGAGUUGCGAAGCCGUGAGGUGGAGCUAAUCUCAAAAAGCUGGUCUCAGUUCGGAUUGUAGUCUGCAACUCGACUACAUGAAGGCGGAAUCGCUAGUAAUCGUGAAUCAGCAUGUCACGGUGAAUACGUUCUCGAGUUUUGUACACACCGCCCGUCGCACCAUGAGAGUUUGUAAUACCCGAAACCGGUGGCCUAACCCGCAAGGGAGGGAGCCGUCUAAGGUAGGACAGAUGAUUGGGGUG